AGUGGUCCCGUGGGAGCGCUGCCGGGAAGGAAACAGGGCAGCAACCGAUAACAUUUAGAUUUAGAAAAGGUUAAUUCAGGAAUACCAGAGAGGAGUGUGUGCUUGCCACAGGGAGGUUUGGAAGUGCCAGGUCAUUGAGCUAGCAAGGUAUAUUAAAUAUAAAGGUUGCAUGUGCCGCGUCUUUCAUUCGUGAAUCCGGAGUUCUUAGGUGAGCGCAGAGCCCUGCACGCACCCUCCGGGAGCACAGAGCAGCCUUUUAAUAUUUACUACAACAAUGACCGGUACUGUGGGCUACUAAAUUAUCCCAUUGCUUGUCUCUUUGCAUCCACAUAGGUAACCAGCGUGUGUAUGGGUUUUAUUGCUCAUGCUUCAAUUUCGUGAGAAAAACACCUUUCCCAAGCAUUUCUGAACCUGGAAGUGUACUCAGAACGGGGCUGUAGUUCAAGACCCAUAUCUAAUACUACUGUUGAGCCUGACCUCGGGCAGCCCUCAAAAGCCAUGCUCAGCCACCCCGUCACAAUAAGCCAAUUGAAGAAACAAAGUAAAAAGCAGAGGAAACAGAUUGAUUCAUUGUGGCACAUUGGGAUGAGGAAAAAGAGGUCCUGUGAUUCCCUAAGUUCAUCUUCAGGGUCCUGACAUGAGGUUUGGUUCAAACAGGACAAGAGGGACAGGAAGCCAAGCAAUCCUGGUCCAUGGCCUACCAUCGCUUUUUCUAUUCCAGUCUUCCCUGCAAGGUGGCCUGAUAAAGGGUCAGAACUGCCUGCCAUCUCUUUCAGGGAAACAAGUUCCUCCUCUGGCUGGCAAAAAUCUUCUGCUCCUUCCCUCUCCUAACAAGAAUUCCUGGGAACAUUUCAGCUUCUUGGGGUGCACUAUCUUAGCAGUUAAAAGCAAAGGGAGGGUCGCACUUUAGAGCAAGAUGGUUGCAUUUCUCAUAAAUGUUUCGUCCUUCAGCUGCCCUGAGGCUUGGGCCAUCUCUGUGUUUGCCUCUGAUGUAGCAAUAGGUAAGAGUGUGUAUCACAAUUUGCUUAGCAGUGCGGGAAGCUCCUACAGGCAGAUUAUAGCUCCCACAAUGCUAAGCUGUAGGUUGCACCAAUGGUGAUUGUCACUUGGGAGUGUUGGUUUAGAGAAACAUGUCAACUUAAAGAGGGUCCUUCCCACACUCCCAACCAAGUGCCCUAGCAGGUUCAUGCUUGGCCCAUGUGACUCAGACAUUUCCUGCUCUCACAUACUUCUGGUUCAUACUCACCAGAAAAAAAAUUCCCUGGGCUUAGACUCUUGAGACAAAGUUUGUCGUUUAGCGUCUCUGGUCCAUUGUAGAAGCACUUGCACUGUGAGAAGAGGAAAGUGGCCAGCUGUGGAGAAUAGAUGAGUCACUGCUUCAAGAUUGAGGAAGCAAAUGUUUUUUAUCUGGGGACUUUCAGAAGGAGGUAGUUUCUUGACUACAAAAACAAAAUAAAGGGGAAGGAGAAACAGACCCAAGUCUCUCCGUCCUUCCUUUGCUAAAUAUUCUACCUCUUCUGUGCUUCCUUUUCUCAUGUUUCUUGUAUUGUGAUGAUUUCUGUUACAGAUGAGUAUGAUGACUACCUAGAGUUGAUCACUACUCAGCAUACACAUGAAUCAAGCAUCACACUGAGAGAUGGAUUAGUCAGUCGAUUGCUUGCAUGAGGACCCGAGUUUGAAUUCCCUGGUAGAAAGAAAGCCUGCAAUGCUGUGGAGGCUCAGGCAAGAUUUCUGGGGCUCAUUGGUCAGUUGGUCUAGCUAAUUCCUGAGCUCCACGUUCAGCAAGAGAUCCUGUGUUCAAAAGGAAGGUAGGGAAGCAACUGGGAGAAACAGCUAACAUUGCCCUCUCACCUCUGCACACAUGUGCACACAUAUGACUUCUAACCUCCACACACAUGCACACAUAUGACCUCUUGUCUACACACACACACACACACGCACACACACACACGUGCACAAUUUGACCUCUUGCCUACACACACACAUGCACACAUAUGACUUCUUGUCUAUACACACACACACACACAUAAUAUGACCUCUUGUUUACACACACACACACACAUACACACGUGACUUCUUCUCUACACACACACACACACACACGCACACAUAUGACUUCUUCUCUACACACACACACGCACACACACGCACACACACAUGCACACACAUGACUUCUUGUCUACACACACACACACAAUAUGACUUCUUGUCUACACACACACACACACACACACGUACACAUAUGACCUCUCACCUUCACACACACGUGCACACAUAUAAUAAAACAUCACAUCGUACUUCAUAAAUAUAAUAAAAUUCAUUGUCAUACUUUUUUCUUUUUACCUCUCAACAUUAUAGUUUAUUUACUAGGAUCUUCAUUCAGAGACUGCUUCUGCACAGAGCUGGUCUCUGGGCUUGAACCUGUGUUUUGGGGAAUCCUCUCCUGUGGACACCCAGGAUGAGAUUGAAUUGGACAAACCCAUCGUUCUUCUCUCCUUCUCUGCUUGCUCAGUUUUACUUCCCCUUCUUCUCCACCCAUUUCGAGAAGAGUUGUAGGAGGUGUCCUCACCUCUUACAGGAGGAAACAGCUGCUCCUCUUCUCAGCAGUGGUAACACCUAGUGCUUGAGGCAGUGAUUCUGAAGACGGCAAAGCCACGGAUAGAGAGGGGCAACUGGAGCUCGCAUUGCUCAUUGGACGACGGAAAGACAAGAUGCUUGCUGCAGUUAUCAGCAAACAUUCUGCCACGGAACUAAAGCCAAUAAAAAUAAGGAUGAAGGAAGAAAGGAAGGAAGGGAGGGGGACAAUAUCCGCUUUAUUAUAUAUGGACAACCGCUUAUACCGUGCAGAUCUGUCAACUGAUUAGUGUGUUACCUCAGAUUGGACAGAGAGCUUCAUACCUCCAGGGUCUCUCUAUGCCUAAGAAGCACAUUAAAGCAGGUGUGGAGAGAGUAGACUCAUCUGCAGGCCAGCUACCAAGUGACUCUACUUCUGAGUUCAGUGUUCCGACUUCUUAUUUAGAAGCGCGGUGUGCCACAUAAGAGGGCCACCAGGUAAGAUGAAACUACAGAAAGUCAGAUCUGGCUUAGACAGGAUUUUCAUAUGUCUCAGCGAGUCAUCUAAUACUGUGUGGAGGCACCGUGACCAUGCCAACUCUUACAAAGGACUUGCUCACGGUUUCAGAAGCCGUGUGUAUUAUCAGCAUAGCAGGAAGCACGGCGCCAUAUUGGUAGACGUGGUUCUGGAGGAGCUGAGAGUUCUACAACCAGAACAGCAGCCAGCAGGAAGGAGAAAGACACCGGACCUGGCUUGAGCAUUUGAAGCCCCAACGCCCACAUCAGUGAUACAUUUCCUCCAACAGGGUCUCCUCUACUCCAACAAAGCUGCACCUCCUCAUCCACGUGAAGAACCACCACGCCCUAAUGAUUAAGCAUCCAGGGAUUCGAGCCCAUGGAGACUGUUCUUGUUCAAACCACCACGCCAUAAUAUCAUUUGAUCCAUCAAGCCAGAGAAUAAAUUUAAUACUUCAGGAAAUCUUCCAAAUCCCAAUAAAGAUGUUAAUGGUGGGGAUUUGGGAUAUUGAGAGCCCUGUGGGGGACCAGCAGGACAGCAGAAUGCAGUACGACAGGGUGUGUUAGUCUCUCUUCACAUGGCUGUAACAAAAUAGCUCACAAAAGCCACUUAGAGAAGGAAGGGUGCACUAGGGUCGCAGUCCAUCAGUGUGGAGACUCAGUAACAGACUCCUCCUGUGCCCGUUCACACUCGUGUCUGCAGUCAGCAAGCAGAGAAGAAUAUUAGUGCCACCUUUUCAUCCUAGCUCACAGGAUGGCGCUGCCCACAGAUGGGCGAGCCUUCUUCAUGUUGAACAUCCCCAGUCACGCUGACAAUGACAAUUAACCACCGCAGUCAGGUCUUAAUGGCAAACCGAUUUGCCAGAAGUUGUUAGGAGCAGACAGAAGGUUAAAAGACAGCCUCGGCCCUGGGAGAACUGAGGUCCUCUGGAGAGAGACACACUCAAGAUUUUUAUAUCAAGCGUUCAGCUGUCUUGGGUAGAACCUGAGAGAGGAGAAAAAGACACAAAUCACAGAGGUGUCUAACGAAGAACGGAAGAACAAUGUGUUCUGUGACACCGUGUUUUUGUUUCUUUGAGGAAGAAAUGGUUUCCCAGGCUAAGUAUUUGAGGAGGAAAUGCCUUGGAGUUGCUGUAAUUUCCUCCUUUGGAAGUCUCUCUCAGAGGAAGCCCUGCGCGGGCAGCGGGGAGCCCUCAGUUUUCACUUUUCUGCUUUGUCUCUUAACUCGCUGCUUUACUUUAGGACAGUGUCUCUGGUUUUGUUUUGCUUUCUAAUUUACAUUUUCCUCUCUGUUCUCUCUGUUCCGGUGUCUAUCUCUCUUCUUUCUCUGUCUCUCUGUCUCUGUCUCUCUGUCUCUGUCUCUGUCUCUCUGUCUCUGUCUUUCUGUCUCUGUCUCUGUCUUUCUGUCUCUGUCUGUCUCUCUGUCUCUCUGUCUCUGUCUUUCUGUCUCUGUCUCUGUCUUUCUGUCUCUGUCUGUCUCUCUGUCUCUGUCUCUGUCUUUCUGUCUCUGUCUCUCUGUCUCUGUCUCUGUCUGUCUCUCUAUCUCUCUGUCUCUGUCUUUCUGUCUCUGUCUCUCUGUCUCUGUCUCUGUCUGUCUCUCUGUCUCUGUCUCUGUCUGUCUCUCUGUCUCUCUGUCUCUGUCUCUCUGUCUCUCUGUCUCUCUCUCUCUCUCUCUCUGUGUGUGUGUGUGUGUGUGUGUGUGUGUGUGUGUGUGUGUGUGUGUAAAAUCUGCAAGAGUUGAUGCUCACUCUACCACACAUGUCCCAGAGAUUGGACUUAAACUAUCAGGCUUCACAGCAAGCACCUCCACGUGCUAAGCCGUGUCAGCAGUCCUGUGAUUUUCUUUAAGCCUCACACACAAUUUUUUUAUUUCUUAUAAAAGGCUUUUAUUUUAGACACACACGAACGGAGAUGCGCCGUGUAAAAAGCCGGGGGCCUUCCCUCCGGUGUCCAUGAUUGGCACUGAGAACAUUCUCUGCAUUGCCUCCCCCUCCUCCUCCUCCUCCUCCUCCUCCUCCUCCUCCUCCUCCUCCUCC